GAAAAGUGUUAUAAAACGAGCUGCCAUGUAACAGUUGGAGUGUCGGGCCGAGGGCCGGAGCCUGUCUGAUCCACAUCCACAGUCCACAUAACACAGGCGGGGGUCAGCGCGCCUGGAGGGGGACCAGUUUCCACUGACUUUGCAAGUGUGGUGGACCCCAUCCGCAGAGAGGCCAGGACCUUAACCUAAAGCAGUGCUGCUUCUUGACCUCUUUCAGGUCCUGACACAACACAGAAACCAGGCUGGUGUUUGCAACUCCCCCACUGGAUCUCAUAACAUCCUGAAAGUGGCAAAAUGACAAGACUGUUUAUUUCAAAAUCGACACUAAAGCAAAUCAUAUUACCAGCACAGGCAAUGUAAUGUAAAAACUAUUCCCCAAUUUAAUACGUUAUUUUAUAUUAUUUAUUUAUUUAUUUAUUUAUUUAUUUGUCCUCCACCAUCUGGCGACCCCUGGAAAUUAUCUCAUGACUGCCUCCAGGGCCCCGAUCCUCAGGUUGAGAACCAUUGACCUAGUUUACAUAUGAAAAAAAAAAAAUCUGUGAUCUAUCAGCACUAUUAAGAUCAGUAAGGUAAGAAGGGCUCAGACUGUUUUAAGUGUGUUUAGAGUCAGUAGAGACGGUGAAUAGUGGUGAUAUAAGAAUCAGAAACACUUUAUUAAUCUACGCAGGGUAAAUGGGGUUAACACAAAGAUACUCUGUCUACAAUAAGAAUGGCACAGUGUAGAGGAAAUAUAAGAAAAAUAUGAAACAGAGAAUCAGUUCAUAGAAAAUAAGAGUAAGAAUUUACAAAAUAUGAAAAAGAAAAAUGUAAAAAAAAAAAAAAAAAUCUGUGCAUUACUUUGAUAACUGAUGUCAGGGCUGCAGAUUAAUGUUUCAUACUGGUUCCAUACGUGUGCCCAACUUCUUCACUUAGGUGAACCAGCACAUUAUUUUGGUACACCUAAUACUACAUUCAAAUGAAAUUCCUAACACGUUAUGUAAAUGAUUGUAAACAUGAAUAAAAGUGAAAAUACAUGUUUCUCUUGAAUUACAGCUCUUGCAAAGAAAAAAA